UACGGGGGGGGGCAAGCGUUGUUCGGAAUUACUGGGCGUAAAGGGCUCGUAGGCGGCCAACUAAGUCAGACGUGAAAUCCCUCGGCUUAACCGGGGAACUGCGUCUGAUACUGGAUGGCUUGAGUUCGGGAGAGGGAUGUGGAAUUCCAGGUGUAGCGGUGAAAUGCGUAGAUAUCGGGAAGAACACCCGUGGCGAAGGCGGAUCUCUGGGCCUUACCUGACGCUCAGGCGCGAAAGCUAGGGGAGCGAACAGG
rnacentral:rRNA from 1 species